UCAUACUMAUCCCUCUGUCCAACAGAYUAGAAACUUCUGCUCUCCAGACACGAAGCAUGGGUGCUUCUAGGCACAUUGCCUUGUGCUGUCAUCAAAUCCUGAAUAUGGGACAUGUGUUGGAGACUCCAGACGGUGAGACAUGCUACAGCUACUCAUGUGCUGCCGUGAAAAAACAAAUUAUGUCUCCAACAGAAUCCGCAUGGGAACUGUCAUGCACUUGAUUUCCAUGCAGAUACCAAAAGCUACAAUUUGGGAAUGGAGAGGAAACUCAUUGCCUGAUUUGUAGAUAUUUGAGGGAGAAAGCUUUAUCAGCACUUUGGACUCUUUGCUUCAUCAGUAGCUCAGCUCAACAGCUGAACCAAACCUGGACUGCAGUUCAUGAGAAGAAGGAAGGCAAGUCCAUAUAUGUCUAUUAAAAAUUUGCUGCCAGGAUGUGAAAGCAGUGGUUCUGUGUGCAGGUCACUUGUCAACUGCCUCCGUGGGCCUUCUUUAAAAAGCCAACGAGUCAUCAUCAGUUGUCCAUGUGARUGUCCUGACAAGGGUGGGUAUUUGCACCCCUCAUUUCUGCAGAGUCCAAAGAAGCUCCUGCAKGCCCAGGUAAUGUCUCAUCAAGGGGAAAAAUGAAUCAACUGUAAUGAYCUGAGCCAAUUCAAAAUGAGGGAAAGUCUCUGCAUAAUGAGAACCUGAUAGAGCAUGAAAUGCACUUCAUGCACGUUAUCUGGUGCAGCUUCAUGUGAAUUGAGUUAUUUUUCUUUUUAGGCUGGCAUUAACAGUGCAGAAUAGUUCAGGUGAAACCAGAAAGCACUCCGCAUUUACAACUGUGUUGAAAGUAGUUGGACAACUAAGAAGAGAUAAGGAUUUUCUGAAUAUAAGGGUUAUUGUUCAAGAAGACAAAACAGGAGGCAAGAGGGGGAAGAAACAAAGCAUGGUCAAGCACCUCAGCAGCACAUUCACCACAUCUCUGAAUAUUUUCAGAUAUUACCUGCCUCAGAGAAGCAUGACAAAUGUCAAUUAACUCUUGAAAGGUCUGCAGUAAUAUGCCAGCAAAAGGAUCUAUGCUAUGGAAGUGCACAGCUUGUAAGCACUUACACGAACAGCUUGUCUGCUUAUCUGUGACAUUAUUGGUUUAGUGGCAGUGCCCUAAUGGAAGCUUUAUUAGUAUUUUCUGUCAUGUUUCUCUUUCAAAGCAGAAAAUUGUUAAGCUCUUCAAGAAAUACCCUGUGUGUCAAUUAACUCACUUUUUG